AGGAUUAGCUCAACAUGAAAAUUGGGGCUUCUGGCCUUGAAUUGUAGUUUGAAGAUGCAUUUGCCAAUGGACAUGAUAAUGAAAGCCUUUUGGGAAAAAGCAUCAACGAGGGUGAGAAUCCUUCUUGACAUUUCAAUUGUCCAUGUACGGUGUGCAUUGAAGAUUCACGUUCCUUGGGAUUUGAACGCAAACUUGUUGGUAAAUUUCAUUUAAAGCUAAAUAUUGGUUUGAGACCGAUAGAAAACAAGUACCAUGAGGGAAAAGUGAAAAGGACUUUGAAAAGAAAGUUAAAAGUGCUUGAAAUUGCUGAAGAGGAAGCGGGUGUAUUUCAAACACAAUUUUCAAGAUUGUUGUGCAUAUCUGUGAUUUCUUGUUGUUUUGACUUCAUCGCAGCAACAAGACUGAUCUGUGACUGCACAAUGUUGCUUGUGUUUUGUGCCAUCAUCGAUUCACAGCUAAAGAAACAGCCUGAAAAUGACGAUUUGCUCUUGUGCAAAUGAAUGUUUGGGUGUAGAUUUAGCUUGUGGACCGUCUGUCUUCCUGUUGUGUUGAUACCUUGGUGUCCACAACAUGAAAAUGAUGGCCAAAGAAAUACAUUCGGCCCGUCUUGAA
rnacentral:rRNA from 1 species